rnacentral:rRNA from 1 species
UACGUAGGGUGCAAGCGUUGUCCGGAAUUAUUGGGCGUAAAGAGCUCGUAGGCGGUCUGUCGCGUCGGCUGUGAAAACCUGGGGCUUAACUCCGGGCCUGCAGCCGAUACGGGCAGACUAGAGUUCGGCAGGGGAGACUGGAAUUCCUGGUGUAGCGGUGAAAUGCGUAGAUAUCGGGAGGAACACCUGUGGCGAAAGCGGCGCACUGGACCAUAACUGACGCUGAGGCGCGAAAGCUAGGGGAGCAAACAGG